AUGCACGCUAGCGAUAGGCUUAACACCUGCAAGUCGCGGGGCAGCACAAGGUAGCUUGCUAUCUGGGUGGCGACCGGCGCACGGGUGCGUAACGCGUAUGCAACUUGCCCUAUACAGGAGGAUAACCCGUCGAAAGACGGACUAAUACUGCGUAUGCUCACAACUUGGCAUCAAGUGGUGAGGAAAGAAAUUCGGUAUAGGAUAGGCAUGCGUCCCAUUAGCUUGUUGGUGAGGUAACGGCUCACCAAGGCAACGAUGGGUAGGGGAACUGAGAGGUUUAUCCCCCACACUGGUACUGAGACACGGACCAGACUCCUACGGGAGGCAGCAGUGAGGAAUAUUGGUCAAUGGGCGCGAGCCUGAACCAGCCAAGUCGCGUGAAGGAUGACUGUCUUAUGGAUUGUAAACUUCUUUUAUACGGGAAUAACAAGAGUCACGUGUGACUCCCUGCAUGUACCGGAUGAAUAAGCAUCGGCUAACUCCGUG
rnacentral:rRNA from 1 species